GCUUGAUUCGUCGCUAACGUUAACAGUCUUGAGAACCGGUCGGAGAAGAGAUUUACAUUGCCCGUUGUCUAUAAAGUUUGGUCUUCAACGCACUUUCAUGGGAGUACCACGACUGACACUGAAGAGAAGAAAUUGACCGGAUUGAGAUGCUUACCGAUCCAGCCUUUUCAUCAAACCACUUCUGCACCCUAAAUUGAUCCUCAGUCUUGGUGUAAAUGCGGAGGAAGAACUCCCCCUGCUGGUUGGGCCUGUAGGUGGAGGCUACGAUGACAUAACUGCCAGGCUCUAGGUGCACCUUCCGCCACACGCUCCUAAUGCCACGGUACUUUCCAGAUCGAGCAACUGCACGGUUGUUGGAGAAGAACUGCUGGUCCAGAGAUCCUGGUUUGUCCUGCAUCUGAAGAUGAUGUUCAUUCAGCUGAUUACCUCAGGGGGAACCUGAAAAAGAGAACGAAGAGAGUCUUGCUAACAGGAGCCACCACAAUACCAUCUUCAUCGUCUUCUCCAUCUGGUUCCUCCCCUUCUUCACCCUCACCAUAAUCAUAGUCAUCCACAUCUUUCUCAGACAGAAUCAUCUGGAACUGAGGAUUUUUCCAGAAAGAUCCUGCAGGAAUGAACAAAAGAAAUAAGUGAUGAGGAAGCAUGUUAAGGAACAAGAGGAAGGGUGUGUCAAGAGGGAUUGUGUACAGUGUACAUUUACCUACCAGAAUUCUCCAUCCUCAACUUUCGCCAACUCAAGUCUGGUCUUCUGAGCUGUGUCUAUAGAGUCCCAGUUCUUACACCUGCACACAAACACAAAUGUGCAUAUGCAGUCAUUAGCAGCCUUGAGACGCAACUCUGGUUAGAAAAUGAGCUGCUGAGGUCUUUCUCACUUGUCACUCCAGGGUCCACAGUAUUCGACAAACCCCCAGGGGUUACGCAGCCUCAGCAGUAAGACCUCUUCAGAUGCCUUCUGGACCUAGACACACACACACACACGUUAGGUUUUUGUGAAUUGUGGGGACUUUCCGUAGACUUCUAUCGUUUUUUUACUAACCAAACAAUAUUUUCUAUUCCCUAAUCUUAAACAUACCCCUUAUAGAAAACCUGUUUGCAUUGUUAUAUAUAUAUAUAUAUAUAACUCUAUAUAUAUAUAUAUAUAUAUAUAUAUAUAUAUAUUUUUUUUUUUUUUUUAUAAUUUUUUUCCCUUGCAGGGAAAAAAGAACACACACACACAUACACACAAAGCAUGUGAGAACCUAUGGGGUGUAUAUUAGGCUCUCAAGGGUACUAACACAGAGAUGUUUGCCAAAAGCUAUUUAAAAAUCAUUAAUUGGAUGAAUCAUUCACUGUCUAUAAAAUGUCUAGGUCAUAAUUCAUACAUACAUACAAACAAACAUACAUAAAGACACUUAAGCACAUUUAAGUACUGAAUAAUAUUAAAGGGGUCAUCGGAUGCCCAUUUUCCACAAGUUGAUAUGAUUCUUUAUGGUCUUAAUGAAAAGUCUAUAUUAUACUUUGGUUAAAAAUUCUCAAUUUGUUGUGUAAAACAACACCUUUUUACCUUGUCAAAAUCAGCUCUGCAAAAACCAUCCCAUUCUGGUCGAGGCUGCUUUAAAUGCAAAUGAGCUCUGCUCGCCCCGCCCCUCUCUUCUUUCUGUGGAGUGACGAGCCUGUUUACUUUAGCUGCGUUUAGCUGCUAAACUU